rnacentral:rRNA from 1 species
GAUGAACGCUAGCGGCAGGCCUAAUACAUGCAAGUCGAACGGUAAGGCCCUUUCGGGGGUACACGAGUGGCGGACGGGUGCGUAACGCGUAUGCAACAUGCCUUCCAGCGGGGGAUAUACCAGGGAAACUUGGCGCAAUACCCCAUAGAAUUACGGGACCGCAUGGUCUUGUGAUUAAAACUCCGGUGCUGGGAGAUUGGCAUGCGUGACAUUAGCUAGUUGGCGGGGUAACGGCCCACCAAGGCGACGAUGUCUAGCUGGUCUGAGAGGAUGAUCAGCCACACUGGGACUGAGACACGGCCCAGACUCCUACGGGAGGCAGCAGUAGGGAAUCUUCCGCAAUGGACGAAAGUCUGACGGAGCAACGCCGCGUGAGUGAUGAAGGUUUUCGGAUCGUAAACUCUGUUGUUAGGGAAGAACAAGUGCCGUUCGAAAGGGCGGCACCUUGACGGUACCUAACGAGAAAGCCACGGCUAACUACGUGCCAGCAGCCGCGGUAAUGUCUGU